rnacentral:lncRNA from 1 species
AAAAAAAUUUGAUUAAAGAGCAAUUAUGACCAGUCAAAAGAAAAAUUUUUUUUUCCACAACAUAACAUUUUGUGUUUGGAAUAUAGAUGGGCUUAUUUCAAAGCACCAUGAUAAAAUAACAGAUCCCCUUUUUCUUCAAGAGAUAAGAAAUUAUGAUGUUGUACUAUUAACUGAGACCCAUGUAGGUUAUAACACUACAGUCAAUAUUGAGGGUUUUAACUAUUACCCUAUUUGUAGACCACAAUCAACUAAUUCUAGAUACUAUGGGGGCCUAGGUAUUUUGAUAAAAUAUGAAGUUCGCAAGGGCAUCAAGAUUUUAACAAAUACAUGUAAAGAUUAUCAAUGGUUGCAAUUUGAUAAACAUUAUUUUAAUCUAAAUACAGAUAUAUUUCUAUGUUUGGCAUAUAUUAUACCUGCAACUUCAUUUUAUGCUGACCAAUCAGAAGACGACACACUUGAAAACAUAGAAAAAGAUAUUAUUAAGUUUAAUCAAUAAGGUAGUAUUAUAUUGUGUGGUGACUUAAAUGCAAGGACAGGGUCAGAGCCAGAUUUUAUAAUUAAUGAUGUUAAUGAUACACAUAUACCAAUGUAUGAUAAUUAUAGUUGUGAUGUUAUUCAAGAAAAAAGAUGUAGUUAUGAUAUGAAAGUAGAUUCAAGAGGUAAACAACUUCUGGACUUGUGUAUUGCGUCCAAAUUACGUAUUUUAAAUGGGAGAAUGUGGGGCG